rnacentral:rRNA from 1 species
GUCCACGCCCUAAACGAUGUCAACUGGUUGUUGGGUUUUCACUGACUCAGUAACGAAGCUAACGCGUGAAGUUGACCGCCUGGGGAGUACGGCCGCAAGGUUGAAACUCAAAGGAAUUGACGGGGACCCCGCACAAGCGGUGGAUGAUGUGGUUUAAUUCGAUGCAACGCGAAAAACCUUACCCACCUUUGACAUGUACGGAAGAUUGCAGAGAUGCGAUUGUGCUCGAAAGAGAGCCGUAACACAGGUGCUGCAUGGCUGUCGU